rnacentral:rRNA from 1 species
CUGAAUCAGUAUGUGUGUUAGUGGAAGCGUCUGGAAAGGCGCGCGAUACAGGGUGACAGCCCCGUACACAAAAAUGCACAUGCUGUGAGCUCGAUGAGUAGGGCGGGACACGUGGUAUCCUGUCUGAAUAUGGGGGGACCAUCCUCCAAGGCUAAAUACUCCUGACUGACCGAUAGUGAACCAGUACCGUGAGGGAAAGGCGAAAAGAACCCCGGCGAGGGGAGUGAAAAAGAACCUGAAACCGUGUACGUACAAGCAGUGGGAGCACGCUUAGGCGUGUGACUGCGUACCUUUUGUAUAAUGGGUCAGCGACUUAUAUUCUGUAGCAAGGUUAACCGAAUAGGGGAGCCGAAGGGAAACCGAGUCUUAACUGGGCGUUAAGUUGCAGGGUAUAGACCCGAAACCCGGUGAUCUAGCCAUGGGCAGGUUGAAGGUUGGGUAACACUAACUGGAGGACCGAACCGACUAAUGUUGAAAAAUUAGCGGAUGACUUGUGGCUGGGGGUGAAAGGCCAAUCAAACCGGGAGAUAGCUGGUUCUCCCCGAAAGCUAUUUAGGUAGCGCCUCGUGAAUUCAUCUCCGGGGGUAGAGCACUGUUUCGGCAAGGGGGUCAUCCCGACUUACCAACCCGAUGCAAACUGCGAAUACCGGAGAAUGUUAUCACGGGAGACACACGGCGGGUGCUAACGUCCGUCGUGAAGAGGGAAACAACCCAGACCGCCAGCUAAGGUCCCAAAGUCAUGGUUAAGUGGGAAACGAUGUGGGAAGGCCCAGACAGCCAGGAUGUUGGCUUAGAAGCAGCCAUCAUUUAAAGAAAGCGUAAUAGCUCACUGGUCGAGUCGGCCUGCGCGGAAGAUGUAACGGGGCUAAACCAUGCAC